rnacentral:rRNA from 1 species
GAGUUUGAUCAUGGCUCAGAUUGAACGCUGGCGGCAUGCCUUACACAUGCAAGUCGAACGGCAGCACGGGUGCUUGCACCUGGUGGCGAGUGGCGAACGGGUGAGUAAUACAUCGGAACAUGUCCUGUAGUGGGGGAUAGCCCGGCGAAAGCCGGAUUAAUACCGCAUACGAUCUGAGGAUGAAAGCGGGGGACCUUCGGGCCUCGCGCUAUAGGGUUGGCCGAUGGCUGAUUAGCUAGUUGGUGGGGUAAAGGCCUACCAAGGCGACGAUCAGUAGCUGGUCUGAGAGGACGACCAGCCACACUGGGACUGAGACACGGCCCAGACUCCUACGGGAGGCAGCAGUGGGGAAUUUUGGACAAUGGGCGAAAGCCUGAUCCAGCAAUGCCGCGUGUGUGAAGAAGGCCUUCGGGUUGUAAAGCACUUUUGUCCGGAAAGAAAUCCUUGGUUCUAAUAUAGCCGGGGGAUGACGGUACCGGAAGAAUAAGCACCGGCUAACUACGUGCCAGCAGCCGCGGUAAUACGUAGGGUGCAAGCGUUAAUCGGAAUUACUGGGCGUAAAGCGUGCGCAGGCGGUCUGCUAAGACCGAUGUGAAAUCCCCGGGCUCAACCUGGGAACUGCAUUGGUGACUGGCANGCUAGAGUAUGGCAGANGGGGGUAGAAUUCCACGUGUAGCAGUGAAAUGCGUAGAGAUGUGGANGAAUACCGAUGGCGA